rnacentral:rRNA from 1 species
AUUGAACGCUGGCGGCAUGCUUUACACAUGCAAGUCGAACGGCAGCGCGGUCUUCUUCCUGUCUUCGAGUUUCGAACUGGUGUGUAAUUCAUCUGAACUUUCCCACUUUUUUUUUAUAGCCCGUCUAAAUCCGGCUUAAUACCGCAUACUACCUUCUUUUGUAAGCUGUGGUCCUAAAGUCCUCGCGCUUUUUUAUCUGCCGAUGUCGGAUUAGCUAGUUGGUUGGGUAAAGGCUUACCAAGGCGACGAUCCGUAGCUGGUCUGAGAGGACGACCAGCCACACUGGGAGUGAGACACGGACCAGACUCCUACGGGAGGCAGCAGUGGGGAAUGUUGGACAAUGGGGGCAAGCAUGAUGCAGCAAUGCCGAGUGAGGGAAGAAGGACUUGGGGUUGUAAAAAGGUUUUGUUAGGGAAGAAAAAAUGUGGGAUAAAAAGAAGGGGGGAUGACGGUAACGGAAGAAUAAGCAACGGCUAACUACGUG